AUGAAAAUAAAGUGUGGAUUUCUGGGUCAUUGCACCAUAUGGGAACGGGGUUUGCUUUUAUUUCUACAGGCAAAAUGCCUUUUUAGGUACCUUCAGGACUUAUCAAAUUGCAGAAUGAGUGACCCAUUUGUCAGACAAUUUCAGGAGCUGGCAAUGCAGAGAACCUCUACGAUGGUGACAGAAACAGCAGAAUCCCCAACAUGAGGACAGAUGUAAAGGUUGACUCAAGAAGCUGAAAAAAAUCUUCUAUUAGCUAUGCUUGCAAUUAUUAAUUUCCAGGUAAGUACAGUUUCUGCUCAUUCUUUUGAUAAUUUGGCCUAUGUUCCUAAUCCUCCUUCAGUGCAUGCUGUUUCCUGGGGAGAACUUGAUGUUUGUGUAUGUACUGAUAAUAUUAAUUUCUUCCCUCCUCCAGUAUUUGGUGGAAUUGAAGAUAUACCAUUCCAUAAAAAUCUGUGUAAUAUUUCUAAUAUAACUGUAGCUGUUGAAGGAGUUCCAUUGUGUAAAGGGGCUUGUUUUUUUCUGUUUACUUCUUAUAGCACAUAAUGAUUCUCAUUCUUAUAUUACUUGGGGAACAUUAUCAUGUGUAGACUGUUUUUUUUUUACUCAAUGUAUAGAUAGAACUAAUUGGGGUUUAAUAGAAUUUAAUAAUUAUUCUUAGUUAUUGUUAAAACUCACAUGGAACUGUGGAAGCCUGUUAAUUUGACUUGGCCUUGGUCUGAUCCUUUGUCUGUUACUAAUUUGUUCAAUGCUGUUCAAGUUUUGUUACACUGCUCAUGACAAUUUAUAGAAAAAGUUAUAGCUUCAAUCCUUGCAGUUGCUUCUGUAAAUGCCACAGCUAUGAUAGCUGGCAUUGCUUUGAUUCAAGAAAUUCAAACUGCAGAUUUCAUGAGUGCAUGGGAUCAAGAUGCUCAUUUAUUAUGGCAACAACAAAAGGUUUUAGACUCUCAAUUGAAUACAGAUGUGAUAAAUCUACAACAUACUGUUUCCUGGCUUGGCAAUCAAGUAAGUAUUUUGGCUACCACAAGUGUUUUGAAGUGUGACUGGGAUUCUUCUCAUAUUUGUGUGACUCCUGUGCCAUAUAAUACAAGUGAUUCCAGGGAUGCUUUUAAAAGAUGGUAAAAUGGACAUCAAAAUUUAACUUUAGAAAUUAUGAAUUUGGAAAAAACUAUUAUGAACACCUUUAGUAAGACAUUACCUGAAUUGACAAGAUCUGACCUCUUACUAGAAUUGUCUUCAAAUAUUGCUAAUUUGAAUCCUUUAUGUCAUUUCUCUACCUUGUUGUCAACUUCUUUUGGUAACACUGUAACAAUUUUUGUUUUAUGUUUUGUUUUAUAUAGUCUUCCAAAGUCGGAAAAAGUGAAAGCAAUUGAAACAUAAAAUUUCUCUAAUUGUUUCUGCUUUGACUCAUUUACAGAAACAAAAUGAAGGCGAUAUAGAAAAUCAGACAUGACUAUGAGUGUGCUUGCAACAAGUCGCCCUGCUGUCUUGGUGGAGCUUGCCUUCAAAAAGGAUAUUCAGCCAAGGUUUAGAUAAGGUGACUGUGAACAUGCUUGCAAAUGAGAUGCCUUGCUGUCUUUGAUGGAGCUAGCCUGCAAACUGGAUGUUCUUCCAAGUACAGUAGGAGGGCUCUGAGAAAAUUUUAUCUGUUGUUAGCAAAGAGCGGAGUUCAGAAUGCUCCAGCCCAAGAGUAGAUUAAGCCAUGAGAAGCACAUAACUUUUGAUUAGUAAGUUACUUCUGUAUAUUAUGUUUAGCUAGCUUAAAGACCUGAAUCAUUGGUUUUGGAAUGCUGCCUUUUUUGUUCACAAUACUAUAAACAGACUGC
rnacentral:lncRNA from 1 species